ACCUGAGUGGCUCAGUCGGUUAAGCGUCUGACUUCAGCUCAGGUUAUGAUCUCAAGGUUCGUGAGUUCGAGCCCCACAUCGGGCU
rfam:Felis catus isolate Cinnamon breed Abyssinian chromosome B3, whole genome shotgun sequence.